rnacentral:lncRNA from 1 species
GUUUGCUGAAGUGCCUGGGCCCCAGUUAAUUGCAAAGUGAAGCCACUCAGUCCACCUCCCUCCAUUGUGAUGAGUGUUGGUGGGACAGCUCACGUUGCCGUGAGCCCAGCGGGUGGACCUGGCCACUCCGACAGACCGACAGCGUGGUGCUGCCGUCACAGCCCUGCCGGCUCACGGGAGGCUGUCGCAGGCUCCUUGCAUCCAGCGUCUACCAUCAUCUGCCUCCAGACAGUGGGAACUAGCGUGGGAGCCCCUGGAUGUGAGGGGGCGUGCACCCUCAGCAAGAAGAGGCUGAGCAUGAGGCCUGGGGUCCCGCCACCGCGGCUCUGCAGUGCCCUCUGCAAAGGUGCCCCUGUCGGUGUCGUGGAGAAGAUGCACAUGCACAGACAAUUUGCAGUACCAAACCAAGACACUCCCCAGACAGAGGAAACCGAGGCUGCGUCUCCACAAGGCCACCAGAGGCUGCAGGCUAGUGGAGACAGAGGAACAAGACAACCAGAACUGUAUUUGCUAGGGGAAAAAGAGAGCCAGUGUGUGAGAAAUUUAAAGAAAAGAUGUUUAGUGGGGUAAAAAAAGCACAUUGAGCCGUUUUCCUAAUUUCAUCAUUGAAACUGCAGAGAUUCCUAUCAGCACAUUUUUGGUGACUUGCCCCAAAUAGCAUGAAUGUCGGUCACUCAUUGUUGACACGGGGACCCAAGAACUCCCCAGCUAGACCCAAUCAGCCCGUGAGCCCAGGCGCAGCAUUCGCCACCGGGACUGGCAAACGUUCACUCCUAUUCCUGUAAAAUCAGGCUUGAAAACGACAUAUUUAAACGCACUUUUAUACAA